CUUGCGCGAACGGAGCGGCCGAUGGCAGAUUAAGUAGUUGGUGGGAUAAAAGCUUACCAAGCCGACGAUCUGUAGCUGGUCUGAGAGGACGACCAGCCACACUGGGACUGAGACACGGCCCAGACUCCUACGGGAGGCAGCAGUGGGGAAUUUUGGACAAUGGGCGAAAGCCUGAUCCAGCCAUGCCGCGUGCAGGAUGAAGGCCUUCGGGUUGUAAACUGCUUUUGUACGGAACGAAAAGACUCUGGUUAAUACCUGGGGUCCAUGACGGUACCGUAAGAAUAAGCACCGGCUAACUACGUGCCAGCAGCCGCGGUAAUACGUAGGGUGCAAGCGUUAAUCGGAAUUACUGGGCGUAAAGCGUGCGCAGGCGGUUAUAUAAGACAGAUGUGAAAUCCCCGGGCUCAACCUGGGAACUGCAUUUGUGAC
rnacentral:rRNA from 1 species